GAGUUUGAUCAUGGCUCAGGACGAACGCUGGCGGCGUGCCUAACACAUGCAAGUCGAACGGUUUUAGAAGUUAGAACUUAGAGGUUAGAAGAUGGAAGGAAGUCAGUUGAAAUCCAAUUUCUAACAUCUAACUUCUAACUUCUGGAAUAGUGGCGGACGGGUGAGUAACGCGUGAGCAACCUGCCCAUAAGAGUGGAAUAACACAUCGAAAGAUGUGCUAAUACCGCAUGACACAUUUCUCUCGCAUGAGGGGGAUGUCAAGGGAGAAAUCCGCUUAUGGAUGGGCUCGCGUCCGAUUAGAUAGUUGGCGGGGUAACGGCCCACCAAGUCUGCGAUCGGUAGCCGGACUGAGAGGUCGAACGGCCACAUUGGGACUGAGAUACGGCCCAGACUCCUACGGGAGGCAGCAGUGGGGAAUAUUGCGCAAUGGGGGAAACCCUGACGCAGCAACGCCGCGUGAAGGAAGAAGGUCUUCGGAUUGUAAACUUUUGUCUUUGGGGACGAAGGGCAGGCGUAAGCUUGCCGUGACGGUACCCAAGGAGGAAGCCACGGCUAACUACGUGCCAGCAGCCGCGGUAAUACGUAGGUGGCAAGCGUUGUCCGGAUUUACUGGGUGUAAAGGGCGUGUAGGCGGGACUGCAAGUCAGAUGUGAAAUACCGGGGCUUAACUCCGGGGCUGCAUUUGAAACUGCGGUUCUUGAGUGCCGGAGAGGAAAGCGGAAUUACUAGUGUAGCGGUGAAAUGCGUAGAUAUUAGUAGGAACACCAGUGGCGAAGGCGGCUUUCUGGACGGUAACUGACGCUGAGGCGCGAAAGCGUGGGGAGCAAACAGGAUUAGAUACCCUGGGUAGUCCACGCGGUAAACGAUGGAUACUAGGUGUAGUGGGUAUCGACUCCCGCUGUGCCGUAGUUAACACAAUAAGUAUCCCACCUGGGGAGUACGGGCCGCAAGGUUGAAACUCAAAGGGAAUUGACGGGGGCCCGCACAAGCAGUGGAGUAUGUGGGUUUAAU
rnacentral:rRNA from 1 species